rnacentral:rRNA from 1 species
GACGAACGCUGGCGGCGCGCUUAACACAUGCAAGUCGAACGGAAAGGCCUGCUUUCCCUUGUGGAUUGCGGGUACUCGAGUGGCGAACGGGUGAGUAACACGUGAGUGAUCUGCCCCCAACUUGGGUAUAAGCCUGGGAAACUGGGUCUAAUUCCCGAUAGGACUGCAGGGUGGUGCCUGUGGUGGAAAACGAUUUUCUAGUGGUUGGGGAUGAGCUCGCGGCCUAUCAGCUUGUUGGUGGGGUAAUGGCCUACCAAGGCGGCGACGGGUAGCCGGCCUGAGAGGGUGGACGGCCACAUUGGGACUGAGAUACGGCCCAGACUCCUACGGGAGGCAGCAGUGGGGGAUAUUGCACAAUGGGCGGAAGCCUGAUGCAGCGACGCCGCGUGGGGGAUGACGGCCUUCGGGUUGUAAACUCCUUUCGACCGCGAGGAAGCCACCUGGUUGGAAGGGUGGUGACGGUAGUGGUAGAAGAAGCACCGGCUAACUACGUG